rnacentral:rRNA from 1 species
CACCGCCCGUCACAUCAUGAAAGCCGUUUGUACCCGAAGUCGUCGUGUUAACCGCAAGGAGACAGAUGCCGAAGGUAUGGAUGGUGAUUGGGAUGAAGUCGUAAACAAGGUACC